CUACAGAGGGUGCGAGCGUUAAUCGGAAUUACUGGGCGUAAAGCGCGCGUAGGCGGCUUGGUCAGUCGGAUGUGAAAGCCCCGGGCUCAACCUGGGAAUGGCAUUCGAUACUGCCGGGCUAGAGUAUGUGAGAGGGAAGUGGAAUUUCCGGUGUAGCGGUGAAAUGCGUAGAUAUCGGAAGGAACACCAGUGGCGAAGGCGACUUCCUGGCCCAAUACUGACGCUGAGGUGCGAAAGCGUGGGGAGCGAACAGAAUUAGAAACCCUAGUAGUCC
rnacentral:rRNA from 1 species